rnacentral:snRNA from 1 species
GUUCUUCCUUGUCGCUUUGCAA